rnacentral:rRNA from 1 species
GACGAACGCUGGCGGCGUGCCUAAUACAUGCAAGUUGAGCGAUGAAGAUUGGUGCUUGCCCCAAUUUGAAGAGCAGCGAACGGGUGAGUAACGCGUGGGGAAUCUGCCUUUGAGCGGGGGACAACAUUUGGAAACGAAUGCUAAUACCGCAUAACAACUUUAAACAUAAGUUUUAAGUUUGAAAGAUGCAAUUGCAUCACUCAAAGAUGAUCCCGCGUUGUAUUAGCUAGUUGGUGAGGUAAAGGCUCACCAAGGCGAUGAUACAUAGCCGACCUGAGAGGGUGAUCGGCCACAUUGGGACUGAGACACGGCCCAAACUCCUACGGGAGGCAGCAGUAGGGAAUCUUCGGCAAUGGACGAAAGUCUGACCGAGCAACGCCGCGUGAGUGAAGAGGGUUUUCGGAUCGUAAAACUCUGUUGGUAGAGAAGAACGUUGGUGAGAGUGGAAAGCUCAUCAAGUGACGGUAACUACCCAGAAAGGGACGGCUAACUACGUG